CAACAACACUCUGCUUGCUUCUCACCCAAGUUUUACCCCUUCACAUAUGUAUUUUUCCUUCAACCUAUUCUUAGAUUGCUCUUUCGACUCUACAAAGGUAUGUGAAACCAGAUUACCACACCUGAUAAAGAAUAUAAACACAGCAGAGGUGGAGCCUAUUUUUCCUUUCCUCCAAUCAGAAUUGAACCUGAAACUCACUUUGGUCAACAGAACUUUAGCAGACGUGAGCUCCGUGGUCCCUGCGAAGAGCCGGCUGUCAACUGUUGUGGCCUUUCAGAGCCGGGCUUUUUCCUCCGUGGCCAGCUUUUUCACCC